rnacentral:rRNA from 1 species
UACGUAGGGUGCGAGCGUUAAUCGGAAUUACUGGGCGUAAAGCGUGCGCAGGCGGUUUUGUAAGCCAGAUGUGAAAUCCCCGGGCUUAACCUGGGAAUGGCAUUUGGGACUGCAAGGCUUGAGUGCGGCAGAGGAGACUGGAAUUCCUGGUGUAGCAGUGAAAUGCGUAGAUAUCAGGAGGAACACCAACGGCGAAAGCACUCUGCUGGGCCGACACUGACACUGAGAGACGAAAGCUAGGGGAGCAAAUGGG